AUACAGCCAUAUCACCUUGAAACACUGGUUCUCGUACGAGCCGAAGUUAAGCAACGUUGAGCUUUGUCAGUAUCUUGAUGGGUGACUGAUUGCGAAUAACAGGGGUUGUAAG